rnacentral:rRNA from 1 species
AUUGAACGCUGGCGGCAGGCCUAACACAUGCAAGUCGAACGGAGUGGCGGACGGGUGAGUAAUGCUUAGGAAUCUGACUGGUAGUGGGGGCUAACUACCGGAAACUGGCGCUAAUAACGCAUCCCAUCGGAUGAGCCUAGGUCGGAUUCGCUAGUUGGGGGGGUAAAGGCCUACCAAGGCGACGAUCCGUAACUGGUCUGAGAGGAUGAUCAGUCAAACUGGGACUGAGACACGGUCCAGACUCCUACGGUAGGAAGCAGUGGGGAAUAUUGGGCAAUGGGCGAAAGCCUGAUCCAGCCAUGCCGCGUGUGUGAAGAAGGUCUUCGGAUUGUAAAGCACUUUAAGUUGGGAGGCGUUACCAACAGAAUAAGCACCGGCUAACUUCGUGCCAGCAGCCGCGGUAAUAC